CGCUGGCGGCGUGCUUAACACAUGCAAGUCGAACGGGGAAAAAUUGAGCUUGCUUAAUUUUCCUAGUGGCGGACGGGUGAGUAACACGUGGGUAACCUGCCCUAUGAUGGGGGAUAACAGAAAGAAAUUUCUGCUAAUACCGCAUAAAACCUUUGGGUCGCAUGACCUAACGGUCAAAGAUUAAUUGUCAUAGGAUGGGCCCGCGGCGCAUUAGCUAGUUGGUGAGGUAACGGCUCACCAAGGCGACGAUGCGUAGCCGACCUGAGAGGGUGAACGGCCACAUUGGGACUGAGACACGGCCCAGACUCCUACGGGAGGCAGCAGUGGGGAAUAUUGCACAAUGGGGGAAACCCUGAUGCAGCAACGCCGCGUGAGCGAUGAAGGCCUUCGGGUUGUAAAGCUCUGUCUUCAGGGACGAUAAUGACGGUACCUGAGGAGGAAGCCACGGCUAACUACGUGCCAGCAGCCGCGGUAAUACGUAGGUGGCAAGCGUUGUCCGGAAUUAUUGGGCGUAAAGGAUUGCGUAGGCGGUCCUUUUAGGUGGGAUGUGAAAAUCCCUGGGCUUAACCCAGGAAUAGCAUUCCAAACUGGA
rnacentral:rRNA from 1 species